CCUACGGGAGGCAGCAGUGGGGGAUAUUGCACAAUGGGGGAAACCCUGAUGCAGCGACGCCGCGUGAGUGAAGAAGGCUUUCGGUAUGUAAAGCUCUAUCAGCAGGGAAGAAAAUGACAGUACCUGACCAAGAAGCCACGUCUAACCACGUGCCAGCAGCCGCGGUAAUACGUAGGGGGCAAGCGUUAUCCGGAUUUACUGGGUGUAAAGGGAGCGUAGACGGUUAUGUAAGUCUGGAGUCAAAGUCCGGGGCCCAACCCGGGGACUGCUGUGGAAACUGUGUAACUGGAGUACAGGAGGGGCAGGCGGAAUUCGUGGUGUAGCGGUGAAAUGCGUAGAUAUCAGGAGGAACACC
rnacentral:rRNA from 1 species